ACCCGUCAAGCAUUGCUUGGUGUUGGGUGUUUGUCCACGCCAUCGGCGUAGACUCGCCCUAAAAGCAUUGGCAGCAGUUUGCCGGCCUCUCGCGCAGCACUUUGCGCUCUUUGAGGUUUCGGUGGGCGUGACUUCCAUCAAGAUCAUCAUCACCA
rnacentral:misc_RNA from 1 species